CCAGAGCUUCUCUUCGAGCCCGGAGCUCAGCCACAGCACGUUGCAGUCGGCUCCUGCCAUACUGUUCUAUCCGCGCCCACAGACUACGGUUGAACCUGGGCAUUGUGCAUGAAGCCCACCACAUCGUCCAGACUCCAGCACAGGGCAUCUGCCAACAGAACCAGUGACUCAUCAAAGUACUCAGCCACCAUGACCAGGUCAAAGACUGAGUCCAACCAGGCCAGACCCCACUGGAUAAAGGAUGAGGGCCUAAAAUCUGAGGAGACAAGGCUGGCUGGCUGCUUGUAACUAUUAGCAGCUGUGGUAAUAGGAUGGAAGAGAGUUCCAGGGCUAGCACCGGAAGGUACAAUAUGUAGCUGGAGGGAUUUGGGGUCUCUGGGUAGCUGGGGACUCACUUUCAUGGUCUUUGUCUCUGGGGGGG
ensembl:antisense 6330418K02Rik uncharacterized LOC110293988